CCUACGGGAGGCAGCAGUGGGGAAUAUUGGACAAUGGGGGGAACCCUGAUCCAGCGACACCGCGUGAGUGAAGAAGUUUUUCGGUAUGUAAAGCUCUAUCAGCAGGGAAGAAAAAAAUGACGGUACCUGACUAAGAAGCCUCUGCUAACUACGUGCCAGCAGCCGCGGUAAGACGUAGGAGGCAAGCGUUAUCCGGAAUUACUGGGUGUAAAGGGAGCGUAGACGGAGAGGCAAGUUUGUAGUGAAAGUCGGGGGCUCAACCCCUGGACUGCUAUGGAAACUGUAGGGCUGGAGUGCAGGAGGGGUAAGUGGAAUUCCUAGUGUAGCGGUGGAAUGCGUAGAGAUUAGGAGGAACACCAGGGGCGAAGGCGGCUUGCUGGACUGUAACUGACGUUGAGGCUCGAAAGCGUGGGGAGCAAACAGGAUUAGAUACCCCGGUAGUC
rnacentral:rRNA from 1 species